AUUGAACGCUGGCGGCAGGCCUAACACAUGCAAGUCGAGCGGGGUUUUCGGACCUAGCGGCGGACGGGUGAGUAAUGCGUAGGAAGCUACCCGAUAGAGGGGGAUACCAGUUGGAAACGACUGUUAAUACCGCAUAAUGUCUACGGACCAAAGUGUGGGACCUUCGGGCCACAUGCUAUCGGAUGCGCCUACGUGGGAUUAGCUAGUUGGUGAGGUAAUGGCUCACCAAGGCGACGAUCCCUAGCUGGUUUGAGAGGAUGAUCAGCCACACUGGAACUGAGACACGGUCCAGACUCCUACGGGAGGCAGCAGUGGGGAAUAUUGGACAAUGGGCGAAAGCCUGAUCCAGCCAUGCCGCGUGUGUGAAGAAGGCCUUCGGGUUGUAAAGCACUUUCAGCGAGGAGGAAGGGGUGAGUGUUAAUAGUACUCAUCUUUGACGUUACUCGCAGAAGAAGCACCGGCUAACUCUGUGCCAGCAGCCGCCGUAAUAC
rnacentral:rRNA from 1 species